GCCACAAUACAUUGAAACACUGGUUCCUGUACAGUCAGCCAAGUUAAGCAAUGUCAAGCCUGGUCAGUACUUAGAUGGGUGACUACUUGGGAAUAACAGGUGCCGUAAG